GACCAGAUGAGAUAGCUCAGUUGGCAGAGCAUGAGGCUCUUAAUCUUAGAGUUGUGGGUUCGAGCCCCAUGCUGGGCA